rnacentral:miRNA from 1 species
CGAGUCCCGGCCGAGCGCUGAC